AUUGAACGCUGGCGGCAGGCCUAAUACAUGCAAGUCGAACGAGUGGCGGACGGGCGAGUAAUGUCUGGGAAACUGCCUGAUGGAGGGGGAUAACUACUGGAAACGGUAGCUAAUACCGCAUACCAUCGGAUGUGCCCAGGUGGGAUUGGCUAGUGGGUGGGGUAACGGCUCACCUAGGAGACGAUCCCUAGCUGGUCUGAGAGGAUGACCGGCCACACUGGAACUGAGACACGGUCCAGACUCCUACGGGAGGCAGCAGUAGGGAAUAUUGCGCAAUGGGCGAAAGCCUGAUGCAGCAAUGCCGCGUGUGUGAAGAAGGCCUUCGGGUUGUAAAGUACUGUCAGCGGGGAAGCGUUACCCGCAGAAGAAGCACCGGCUAACUCCGUGCCAGCAGCCGCGGUAAUUC
rnacentral:rRNA from 1 species